UCCCUGGUGGCUCAGACGGUAAAAGCAUCUGCCUACAAUGCAGGAGACCCGUAUUCGAUUCCUGGUUUGGGAA
rnacentral:tRNA from 1 species